GAUCCUGCAGAUGAGAAGAUGACAGCUCUUAAUGUCACUUUAACAGCACAUAUUACAGCUCAACCGCAAAUAAAACCGACGCAAUCAAACGACACAUAAAUGAGGAACCGAGUACGGCACAAGACUCACCUAAGGAAUGUGUUUGGACCAUUACAUCCAGUCAUCAGAAGCAGAGCUGUGGGACGUGUGGACAGACAUUGACUGUAAUGAUGGACUUCUGCUGAUGGACAGUUUUGGCAGCAGAUUCGUGCAGCACUUAUAGUCAAUCUUGGCUGGAUCUUCGUCUGUCUGUCACGUGAUGAGGAACCAUGUUGUGAGGAGCACGUGAGUCUCUGGAUCUCUGGACGCUCGUGAGACAGACUCCAGCUUCUCUACAUAGGACAAGUGUUUGGAGAAUCCUGGAUGGAGAGCAGGCAUGUGUGCAUGAAACCAGAGACCAGAUUAAUGUGUUCAUGUACCCCACCUUGUGGACACUAAGUGUAUCUGCAUUAAUAUAUGAAAACAGCAUGAAGAGGAAAGAGAUUUAAAAAAAAAGUCCCUAAUCCUGCUCCUGACGAGCCACUUUCCUGAGUUUAUCUCCAACCCUGUAAAAAACCGCUCUAGCAGCUGAACAAUAAAUUGUUGUUUUAAUGAAUGCUGUUGCUAAACUAAAAAAACAACCACAAUGAACCAUAUCAAACAUCACAAAUGCCGUGGCUCAGUGGCUAAUCAUUUGUCUUUCAUUCAGUUCUUGGUCCAAAUCCCACAGUUGCUAAUAUUUUUAUCACAGAAAACAAAGCCCUCAAUAAACUCAAAAGAGUUCAAUAAAUAAAUGGUUGCGUUUGAAUCUUAGAUUGCCUAUGUUAAAAUGCAUAUCCAACAAACUGCACCAAACAACAGAUGAUAUUGUGAAAGCCACGAUGGUGCAGUGGUUAAACACAACACAUUUUCCAACUCUUCCUAAUCAAUCACACCUGAAUCGACUCAUCAGCUCGUUAGUAGAGACUCCAAAACCAGACAUAUAUGGGUCAGAUAAGAAAGACGUCGAGGGUGUGCAAUGUUGGUGUGGCUCUUGGAACAGGGAUCUCUUGGUUUGAGCUGCUGGAGGUCAUGAGGAAAAGCAGUGAGUGACUUUGCAUGGAGUAUUUUGAGAGGAGCAACCGCCGAACUGUUAUGCAUCUGAGCCUUUUCCUGACUCAACCUGUUUCUGUUUUGAACUGGCAUGUUUUUGACAAUGAUCUACUCCAGUUUGUGUCCAAUAAAAUGGUAAAUGUGA